rnacentral:rRNA from 1 species
UGCCUAAUACAUGCAAGUCGAACGCUUCUUUUUCCACCGGGAGCUUGCUCCACCGNGAAAAAGAGGAGUGGCGAACGGGUGAGUAACACGUGGGUAACCUGCCCAUCAGAAGGGGAUAACACUUGGAAACAGGUGCUAAUACCGUAUAACAAUCGAAACCGCAUGGUUUUGAUUUGAAAGGCGCUUUCGGGUGUCGCUGAUGGAUGGACCCGCGGUGCAUUAGCUAGUUGGUGAGGUAACGGCUCACCAAGGCCACGAUGCAUAGCCGACCUGAGAGGGUGAUCGGCCACAUUGGGACUGAGACACGGCCCAAACUCCUACGGGAGGCAGCAGUAGGGAAUCUUCAGGCAACUGGACGACAAGUCCUGACCCGAGCAACGCCGCGUGAGUGAAGAAGGUUUUCGGAUCGUAAAACUCUGCUUGUUAGAGAAGAACAAGGCAUGAGAGUAACUGUUCAUCCCUUGACGGCUAUCUAACCAGCAAAGCCACGGCCUAACUACGUGCCAGCAGCCG